rnacentral:rRNA from 1 species
AUUGAACGCUGGCGGCAUGCCCUACACAUGCAAGUCGAACGGUAACAGGUCUUCGGAUGCUGACGAGUGGCGAACGGGUGAGUAAUACAUCGGAACGUGCCCGAGGGUGGGGGAUAACGAGGCGAAAGCUUUGCUAAUACCGCAUACGAUCUCAGGAUGAAAGCAGGGGACCGCAAGGCCUUGCGCUCACGGAGCGGCCGAUGGCAGAUUAGGUAGUUGGUGGGAUGAAAGCUUACCAAGCCGACGAUCUGUAGCUGGUCUGAGAGGACGACCAGCCACACUGGGACUGAGACACGGCCCAGACUCCUACGGGAGGCAGCAGUGGGGAAUUUUGGACAAUGGGCGCAAGCCUGAUCCAGCCAUGCCGCGUGCAGGAUGAAGGCCUUCGGGUUGUAAACUGCUUUUGUACGGAACGAAAAGACUCUGGUUAAUACCUGGGGUCCAUGACGGUACCGUAAGAAUAAGCACCGGCUAACUACGUGCCAGCCGCCGCAGUAAAAC